AGCUAGCUAGCUAGUACCUGUACAAUGUACACACACGAAUUUCGAUCGCAUCGUAAACACGUUAACGGAAUGUAGUGAAAUCUGGAUGUGGAUUGUAUAGCGAUCUGGUUGAUUUUGCGUGUUUAUCAUUCUGAAUCCCAAGUUAUUGCUUUCUAGUUGGGACCUGGAAAUACAAAGGCUAAGUUUAGAUACCGUAUUGGAAGUACAUGUACACACAAAAGGACGGGACUAACCAGUAGUACCAGUAACACUGAUGGACAUAGAUUGCAAGAGCCCUUGACAGUAAGGAAAUACUAGAAGGGUACACUGAUCAGGGAGCAGGAACCGCCAGAUACUCUUUCUUCUUCGUCUCGUUGGCUGGCUGGGGUAAUAGCCCUUUCGGAAUCUGGAGGGACAAGUUUUAACAAACUGAGAUCAGCUCACUCCAUGCAGCUUUGAGCAGAAGCGAUUUCUUUUAAUCAAAGGUAAGUGACUUUUCCUAAUUCUAGUCAGUCUUUUGGGAAGCAGAAUAAAGGAUUGGUCAAUGGCCAUAUUCAUAAAUCAAAGAUAAUAGUGAAAUCGGUCUCUGACGAAAAGGUAUAAGCCUACAAUCCAAUGAAAUCAGUGCUGAAAGCCACUAAUUAUAUUUUCAGUGAGCACCAUACAUUUUCCACAUAUAUGUUUUUUCCGUUAUCGUUAUUGCAACCUUGCUAUUUGUUUCAGAUACCAU